ncrna:unclassified sequences dinG RNA
AAUGAUACCUUCCCGAACCUUGCAUUUUCGGGAGCUGCGUUAGCAGGAAUAAUUCGCAGCGGAAGCAUCGCCAUAGCUGAAAAAGGCCAUGGGGAGCUUUC